UGUAGUCAUAUGCUUGUCUCAAAGAUUAAGCCAUGCAUGUCUAAGUAUAAACAACUUUAUACUGUGAAACUGCGAACGGCUCAUUAUAUCAGCAAUAAUUUAUUUGGAUAACUGUAGUAAUUCUAGAGCUAAUACAUGCGCAAAGUCCCGACUCGCGAGGGGAGGGAUGUAUUUAUUAGAUAAAAAACCAAUGCGGAUUUGUGUUGAAUCAUAGUAACUUAUCGGAUGGCAUAGCUUUACGCUGGCCGCAGAUCAUUCAAAUUUCUGCCCUAUCAGCUUUCGACGGUAGUGUAGUGGACUACCGUGGCGUUAACGGGUAACGGAGAAUUAGGGUUCGAUUCCGGAGAGGGAGCCUGAGAAACGGCUACCACAUCCAAGGAAGGCAGCAGGCGCGCAAAUUACCCAAUCCUGACACAGGGAGGUAGUGACAAAAAAUAACAAUACCUGGCCUUUUUAGGUCAGGUAAUUGGAAUGAGUACAAUUUAAAUCCCUUAACGAGGAUCAAUUGGAGGGCAAGUCUGGUGCCAGCAGCCGCGGUAAUUCCAGCUCCAAUAGCGUAUAUUAAAGUUGUUGCAGUUAAAAAGCUCGUAGUUGAAUUUUGGGCCUGGCCGUGCGGUCCGCCUUCUGGGUGAGUACUGUCUUCGCGCCGGGUCUCUUUUUCUGGUGAGCUAGUGUGUCCUUUACUGGGCGCGUUAGGGAACCAGGACUAUUACCUUGAAAAAAUUAGAGUGUUUAAAGCGGGCAUUUGCUUGAAUACAUUAGCAUGGAAUAAUGAAAUAGGACGGACGGUUCUAUUUUGUUGGUUAUGGGACCACCGUAAUGAUUAAUAGGGAUAGUUGGGGGCAUUAGUAUUCAAUUGUCAGAGGUGAAAUUCUUGGAUUUAUUGAAGACUAACUACUGCGAAAGCAUUUGCCAAGGAUGUUUUCAUUAAUCAAGAACGAAAGUUAGGGGAUCGAAGACGAUCAGAUACCGUCGUAGUCUUAACCAUAAACUAUGCCGACUAGGGAUCGGAUGAUGUUAAUUUUUUAAUGACUCAUUCGGCGCCUUACGGGAAACCAAAGUGUUUGGGUUCCGGGGGGAGUAUGGUCGCAAGGCUGAAACUUAAAGGAAUUGACGGAAG
rnacentral:rRNA from 1 species